rnacentral:misc_RNA from 1 species
UUCUCUUGCAAAUGGGAAGGAUGGUCACCCUUCUAAUUAAUGGUUGUGUUAUGUGAAGUUGUACUGCGGUCAACUAAUUAUAAUAUUUAUUGUUUUGAUAGCGUCUUUCAUGGUUCAUGAUCUUUUUUUGCAGGAAAUGAGCAUUAAAUACCAUGAAGUUUUUUCAAAAAGAUUAAAGAAUAAGACCAAAGAUAUUCCCUUGAGUGCAAGAAACAUUUUGGAGGAUCCUGAUCUGAAAAGUGCUGUAAAAUCAUUUAGGUAAGUUAUAUUCAGCGGUCUUGUGCUCUGUGGUUGAGUUUUGAUAUAAACUACUAUUAGAAUCUCUAGUGUAAAUUUCUUCGGUGCGUUUAUUGGACUCCCAUAUUUAACAGCAUUAUGCUUUCUCCGAGUACUCUAUAGACAUUUGUUAAUAAAACAGGUCACGCUUAUUGGAGGCCAUUAUUCUUGGUCUGGCCUAGGACAGUCAAUUUCUUUUAGUUAACAGAAAAUUAAUUUUUUACUUGAGGCUUACGCUUCAGAAUCAGAUGUCUUUUCUGCUUCUUGAUUGCUGAUGGACUUUAUCAGGAAAAUAAUUGGUUUUGUUCCAAAUAAAUUCUUAGUGGUGACACAGAAUGGUAUUUGUUUCCUUUGUCCUUUAGUUAGCUGUUUGAAAAUUAACUAGUUCUGGCACUUCAUGCUACCUAAAAGGAAUAACAUUUUGU